ACCCCACCCUGUGUUUAUGUACAUGGAUCCCAGUGAGCUGCAUCCAGGACCCAAGUCCAAAACCUCUCCUAAGCCAGCCUACGAGAACACUAGUGAUCUGUACCUUGUACCAGAAGAUGAAAAGGAACACAUUUAUGAAGAAGUGAAGUGACAGCAAACUUGACAGACUGAACAAAGCGUUGUGUUGCAGAAAAGCCUUUGGCAGAGAGUCUGAAAGCAGUCCCUCCAGAUGGUACAGAAUAGAAAGCUCUUGGGCCUAGAAAUUAAAGUAAGGGUGUCUUUGAAUUCCUUCUUACACUCCCCACCAAAAUGUCCAAGCCCUGGGGACAGAUGUCAGCAUCUCUUCCACAGCAUUCAGAAGGUUUGUGUGAAAGUAGCCAAGGUAGGUAGCCUGAGAAAUGGCUUCUGAUUUCCCAAGUGGAGAUUAAACCAGGCAAAACUGCUAGAGCAGAGGUGGGCAAAACGGCCAA